UUUUUAUUUAACUCUGACCUGGUACAUUGGCGAGUGAAGCGGCAAAAGCUCAAAUUUGAAAUCUGGUACCUUCGGUGCCCGAGUUGUAAUUUGGAGAGGGCAACUUUGGGGCCGUUCCUUGUCUAUGUUCCUUGGAACAGGACGUCAUAGAGGGUGAGAAUCCCGUGUGGCGAGGAGUGCGGUUCUUUGUAAAGUGCCUUCGAAGAGUCGAGUUGUUUGGGAAUGCAGCUCUAAGUGGGUGGUAAAUUCCAUCUAAAGCUAAAUAUUGGCGAGAGACCGAUAGCGAACAAGUACAGUGAUGGAAAGAUGAAAAGAACUUUGAAAAGAGAGUGAAAAAGUACGUGAAAUUGUUGAAAGGGAAGGGCAUUUGAUCAGACAUGGUGUUUUGUGCCCUCUGCUCCUUGUGGGUAGGGGAAUCUCGCAUUUCACUGGGCCAGCAUCAGUUUUGGUGGCAGGAUAAAUCCAUAGGAAUGUAGCUUGCCUCGGUAAGUAUUAUAGCCUGUGGGAAUACUGCCAGCUGGGACUGAGGACUGCGACGUAAGUCAAGGAUGCUGGCAUAAUGGUUAUAUGCCGCCCGUCUUGAAACACGGACC
rnacentral:rRNA from 1 species